AAGAAUUACCAGAAUUGUCAGUGCAGAAAAGCGUUCAGCGUUUAAUAGAAAAUAAGAAGUCUUUAUGGGCCCGUCGUUCUUAUGGCACGAUUUUCUUGAUAACCAAUCUUAUAGCUUGGCUCUUUCGAGACUAUCGAGAAAAGGCUUUACUGUUAUUAAAUUAUACAAAAGCUUGUGGAAAAGAGGAAGGAGAUUGUUUUCAUACAAUGGGAAUUCUUCGUGUGAGUUUAGGAUGCUUUAUAUUUUUCUUUGUAAUGUUUCUUACAACAUUUAACACAAGAAAAUUACAUGAAGCUCCCAAUGCUUGGCAUUCUGGAUGGUGGGCAUUGAAAUUCCUUAUAUUGACUAUAUCACUGGUGAUUUCAUUCUUCAUUCCCUCGUAUUACAUUCAAAUAUAUGGUACGUAUGAUAGUUAAAAAUGCAAUUCCUUGAGUUUUCUUAAGCAAAUAUUAUAACAGUAAUUACUGAAGUUGUAACCAUAAAGCUAUCUUCAAAGCAAUAUGGAAAGUUGUCUUUUGAACUCCUAUUAUUCCUUUUAGAAGUGUCGUCCCAU